UGGAAGUUAAAGACAAUCUACAUUUUUUCUCAGUAAAUUGGGACUACGUAAAGACUUUUAUUUUGGUAUAUGAAAUGUCACAGUCCAGCAUAUAGCACACCAGCAUUUCGCAGGUGCAUAGACUGCAAGCCACAGUAAGGAACUGCUUGGCUUUCUAACUUUGAAUGAAAAACUCAGAGCUGAUAGGAAGGCUGACUGUCCCCAGAUGCGUGGUUAAUGAGGUGCUUCUAACAGAGCGACAUGUUCAGUUUACUGGAAGGAUAAGAAUCUCACAUAAAGAACAGGGCAUCCUGUUCAUACAACAACAGUAUACCUUCAACAAGGGAAACGAUUCUUCAUGUUACCCCACACGACAAGUCUGCAGGAUCCCAGAGGCCAAGCCUACUGUGUAACAGCUGACAAUGCCAUCAAUUUCUGUGGUGUUUAUGGCAUGUUCCAGCACAUCACACAUAAGGAUUCCAGAUCGAAAUGGCCCACCAAGGCAUAUCAUAAUGAAGUUGCAGAAAACUAGAAAUCCUAAAAGUGUCCUAAGAGGGGAAAAAAAUCAUAAUCUGAAGACUAGGAUUCAAAAUGGCAUGAGCCUUCUCAGUAGAACACUGGAAACUAGAAGACAGUGGAGCAACUGACAGUCUUCAAAAUUGUGAAGAAAGUUAUCAUCUUAGAACUUCCGCAGCCAAAUUAUCAUUCAAGAGUAAGCAUAGAAUAAAGACUUACAUACAUUCAGCGUGUCAGAAUAUUGACCCUCCAUGCACCCCUUUCCAGGAAGCUCCUGAAGAAUA